rnacentral:rRNA from 1 species
CUGGUUGAUCCUGCCAGUAGUCAUAUGRRGUCCUCAAAGAUUAAGCCAUGCAUGUCUAAGUAUAAGCAAUUUAUACAGUGAAACUGCGAAUGGCUCAUUAAAUCAGUUAUCGUUUAUUUGAUAGUACCUUACUACUUAGAUAACCGUGGUAAUUCUAGAGCUAAUACAUGCUUAAAAUCCCGACUGUUUGGAAGGGAUGUAUUUAUUAGAUAAAAAAUCAAUGUCUUCGGACUCUUUGAUGAUUCAUAAUAACUUUUCGAAUCGCAUGGCCUUGUGCUGGCGAUGGUUCAUUCAAAUUUCUGCCCUAUCAACUUUCGAUGGUAGGAUAGUGGCCUACCAUGGUUUCAACGGGUAACGGGGAAUAAGGGUUCGAUUCCGGAGAGGGAGCCUGAGAAACGGCUACCACAUCCAAGGAAGGCAGCAGGCGCGCAAAUUACCCAAUCCCGACACGGGGAGGUAGUGACAAUAAAUAACGAUACAGGGCCCUUUCGGGUCUUGUAAUUGGAAUGAGUACAAUGUAAAUACCUUAACGAGGAACAAUUGGAGGGCAAGUCUGGU